UUACUGGUGUUACACGAGUUCAGACCUGUGUCUUCGGAUCUCGCCCCCCCAUUUGUCCCCUAUGAGGACAGUUUUCUAAAUUCUACGCCAGCAUCCACAUCCACUUUGGAUGAAAUGGAUGCCCCCUUUUCUUUUUCCGAACUUCAAUGUGCGUUAAAUGGUUUAUCUGAUUCUACUCCUGGAGAAGACGGCGUUCCUUACUCUUUUAUUUCUAAACUAAAUGAUAAAGCGAAAAAAUGUUUUUUAAAUAUAAUUAACUCGGUUUUUAUCAAAGGAAUUGUCCCGCAAUCUUGGAAGACACAAAUUGUUAUCCCGAUCCUUAAACCGGGUAAAAACCCUUCAGAUUGCAGCUCAUAUAGACCGAUAGCUUUAUCAUCAACUUUGGCAAAGAUCACUGAACAUCUGUUGAAGAACCGCCUGGAGUAGUUAAUGGAAAGCAGAAAUAUACUUGCUCCCUCUCAAUUUGGCUUUCGGAAGGGUUUGAGCACCAUUGAUAGUCUAAGCAUACUCACAACAGACAUUCGAAUUGCCUUUGCUAAAGGAGAGUACCUUGUGGUAUUUUUUCUAGAUAUAUCUUCUGCAUAUGAUAAUGUCCUUCUUCCGUUGCUCAGGCAGAAAAUGCAACAGCUGAGUAUUCCACCGAGGAUAGUUCAUCUCAUAUGUAAUCUGUUAACUUGCAGAUCAAUAACGGUUAGACACCAACAUCU